GGAUGCGAUCAUACCAGCACUAAAGCACCGGAUCCCAUGAGAACUCCAAAGUUAAGCGUGGGCAUAUCGGAUGCGAUCAUACCAGCACUAAAGCACCGGAUCCCAUCAGAACUCCGAAGUUAAGCGUGCUUGGGCGAGAGUAGUACUAGGAUGGGUGACCUCCUGGGAAGUCUUCGUGUUGCAUCCCUUCUUUUUGCCGUCCGUCCACCGCGGCACGUUUCCGACCCACGCUGCGCCCGGCCGUUGCGUCCCCUCGUUUUAGCCGUCCGCGCGGGACUUAGGCAAAUAAAAACAAAUGAAAAGUGUUUACGGUAUGACGGCGUUGCUCCUCUCGCUAGACGCUAUCCUUCCCUACGGCGCGCCCGGCAGCUUCCGGCCGUCUAUCCCGGUUAUUUGACAAGGGGGACGGAGGCGCGGGGGCAUGUC
rnacentral:misc_RNA from 1 species